UACGGGGGGGGUAAGCGUUGUUCGGAAUUACUGGGCGUAAAGGGCUCGUAGGCGGCCAACUAAGUCGGACGUGAAAUCCCUCAGCUUAACUGGGGAACUGCGUCCGAUACUGGAUGGCUUGGAUUUGGGAGAGGGAUGCGGAAUUCCAGGUGUAGCGGUGAAAUUCGUAGAUAUUCGGAAGAACACCAGUGGCGAAGGCGGCUCACUGGCCCGGUACUGACGCUGAGGUGCGAAAGCGUGGGGAGCAAACAGG
rnacentral:rRNA from 1 species